UUAUUAAAAGUUCCGUUUAUUCAAAACCAUUUGAAAUAUGCUACAAAGGACAAAUACUAUGCAGCAAGGGGCCGCAUCUCGAAAGAAGCCGCACGUUUCUCAUCAAUUUUCAUUCAAUUGCUUCAAGUUUUGUCAACGCCACAAACGAAGAAUAAUGUUACGAAGCUGAAAGUCACAUGUUGUAUGUACUUUGCUCAUUAUCACUUAUUUAUUAGCGGAAAGCUAAGCUGUUAUGAAUAGCGCAACUUACAAGAUGCUUUAUAAUAACGAGAAAAAUAUAAAUUUUGGAACUGAAA